rnacentral:ncRNA from 2 species
GGUGAGCAUGGGUAUGAAGUUACCCAAGAUAGUUUGUCGCGGUCGUGAUGAGCGUCUGAACCGCUGUUAGGCUGAUGACUUCUGCAGAGAU